UUCCCUGUGGCUCAGUUGGUAGAGCAUGGUGUUUGCAACGCCAGGGUUUUUGGGUUCGAUUCCCACGGGGGAC
rfam:Salmo salar isolate Sally breed double haploid chromosome ssa09, whole genome shotgun sequence.